CGAACGGGUGAGUAACGCGUGAGGAACCUGCCUCAAAGAGGGGGACAACAGUUGGAAACGACUGCUAAUACCGCAUAAGCCCACGGCUCGGCAUCGAGCAGAGGGAAAAGGAGCAAUCCGCUUUGAGAUGGCCUCGCGUCCGAUUAGCUAGUUGGUGAGGUAACGGCCCACCAAGGCGACGAUCGGUAGCCGGACUGAGAGGUUGAACGGCCACAUUGGGACUGAGACACGGCCCAGACUCCUACAGGAGGCAGCAUG
rnacentral:rRNA from 1 species